AUUUGGCUUUGGACAUAAUAUGUUGCGAGUCGUACGCCGAGUCCGCAGCCGCUUGUAAAAUAGUGGUCUUUACAUCCAACACUCCUGAAAAGUCCACCUCAUACACAUCACUGUCCUUCAAGCAACUCAAACGGUGCCCUGGAUUGUGAUGUCAUUGAUUAUGUUUAUCUGAUUGCUAGAUAGUCUGUGGUCCAAAAAAUUGCUAGUGAUGAUAUAAGAAUUGGUUUGUCAAAAUCAAGGAGGUGGCCUUUAAAUAUCUUGUAACGUGAUCCUGAAGGCGUUGGGAAUUUCACCCAAACGUCCUCAAAUUUUUUAGCCUAACGCUAUUAUUGUCUGAGAGACAACAAAAUCGCACAGCCACAUUUGACCAACAUAAUUACUUAUCCUCAGUUACAGCUACCAAUAUUAAUUACUCAAAAAAGCUGUUAAGAAGACAAUUAAAUUAAUGGCUGAUGUCGACAAACCUGCGCCAAGGAGAACAACCUGAGCUGCUCUGCCACUUGGGGAAUUGAGGGCAUCCUCCAGCCUAGAAUCAAACCAGAGGGUUCGUACUGCAAGAAUGACUCCAGAAAUUUCAC